GGGUCGGUGCCCGAGUGGCCAAAGGGAGCAGACUGUAAAUCUGCCGGUUCUGCCUUCGAAGGUUCGAAUCCUUCCCGGCCCACCA
rnacentral:tRNA from 1 species